rnacentral:rRNA from 1 species
UUUGUAAUACAUGAAGUCGAGCGACAGAUCAAGGAGGUUGCUUCUUCGACGUUAGCGUGUGGACGUGAGUACACGUCGCAACCUACCUUUAGUGUGGAUAACUCCGGGAAACCGGGGCUAAUACCCGAAUAAUCUUUUCACCUCAUGGUGAAAUAUUGAAAGACGGUUCUACGAUGUCGUAUGAGAUGGGCCCUUGGGCAUUACUCUACUCUGGGAGGUAACCGCUCACCAAGGCGACCAUUGUAGACGACCUGAGACGGUGAUUGACACACUGGACUAUACACGGACCAACUCCUACCUGGAGGCAUGAACCGGGAAUCUUCCACAAUGGGCCAAACUAUGAGCAACUACAUGAAGGGAGAAAUGAUUCGGUCUAAAACCUCGUUGUUAAGAACGAACUGCCACGACUAUUCUGCUUGUUCCUUUCGGGCCCUUGGAACCCCUGUUUUACGUGGCCAACGGGAAGGGAAUACCUUGGGAGGGGAAUUGGCCCGGAUUAAUUUGGGCCCAAGGUUCCCCCCGUGGGGUGUAACCCUUAAAUUAAUGCCCGUAAUCCGAAGGGUUUUCAAUGGGGGUUGGGAAAGGAUUAGGGGGCAAACCCCAAU